rnacentral:rRNA from 1 species
AAGUCGAACGGUAGAGAAGUGCUUGCACUUCUUGAGAGUGGCGAACGGGUGAGUAACACGUAGGUGAUCUACCGCAGGGGUUGGGGAUAGCCCAUGGAAACAUGGGGUAAUACCGAAUACGCUCAUUUGGCUGUGGCCGGAUGAGGAAAGGCGCUUCGGCGUCGCCCUGCGAUGAGCCUGCGCCCCAUUAGCUAGUUGGUAGGGUAAAGGCCUACCAAGGCGACGACGGGUAGCCGGCCUGAGAGGGUGAUCGGCCACACUGGGACUGAGAUACGGCCCAGACUCCUACGGGAGGCAGCAGCUAAGAAUCUUCCGCAAUGGACGAAAGUCUGACGGAGCGACGCCGCGUGGGUGAAGAAGGCCGGAAGGUUGUAAAGCCCUUUUCUCGUUGAGGAAUAAGCACAGGAGGGAAUGCCUGUGCGAUGACGGUAGGCGAGGAAUAAGUCCCGGCCAAUUACGUGCCAGCAGCCGCGGUAACACGUAUGGGACGAGCGUUGUUCGGAAUCAUUGGGCGUAAAGGGCGCGUAGGCGGCGAGGUAAGCCUGGUGUGAAAGACCGCAGCUUAACUGCGGAACCGCGCUAGGAACUGCUUUGCUUGAGUUCGGGAGGGGGAGCUGGAAUUCCAGGUGUAGGGGUGAAAUCUGUAGAUAUCUGGAAGAACACCGGCGGCGAAGGCGAGCUCCUGGCCAUGAACUGACGCUGAGG